rnacentral:rRNA from 1 species
GCAUAUCAAUAAGCGGAGGAAAAGAAACCAACAGGGAUUGCCCUAGUAACGGCGAGUGAAGCGGCAACAGCUCAAAUUUGAAAUCUGGCCUUCGGGUCCKAGUUGUAAUUUGCAGAGGAUGCUUUUGGCGCGGUGCCUUCCGAGUUCCCUGGAAUGGGACGCCUUAGAGGGUGAGAGCCCCGUACGGUUGGACACUAAGCCUCUGUAAAGCUCCUUCGACGAGUCGAGUAGUUUGGGAAUGCUGCUCUAAAUGGGAGGUAAAUUUCUUCUAAAGCUAAAUAUUGGCCAGAGACCGAUAGCGCACAAGUAGAGUGAUCGAAAGAUGAAAAGCACUUUGAAAAGAGGGUUAAAUAGCACGUGAAAUUGUUGAAAGGGAAGCGUUUGCGACCAGACCUUUUCCUGGCGGAUCAUCCGGUGUUCUCACCGGUGCACUUCGCCAGGUUGAGGCCAGCAUCGGUUUUCGUAGGGGGAUAAAAGCCUGAGGAACGUAGCUCCCUCGGGAGUGUUAUAGCCCCUCGCAUAAUACCUUUACGGGGACCGAGGACCGCGCCUUCGGGCAAGGAUGCUGGCAUAAUGGUUGUCAACGACCCGUCUUGAAACACGGACCAAGGAGUCGAACAUUUGUGCGAGUGUUUGGGUGUUAAACCCUCACGCGUAAUGAAAGUGAACGGAGGUGAGAGCCCCUUGCGGGGUGCAUCAUCGACCGAUCCUGAUGUCUUCGGAUGGAUUUGAGUAAGAGCAUAACUGUUCGGACCCGAAAGAUGGUGAACUAUGCGUGGAUAGGGUGAAGCCAGAGGAAACUYUGGUGSMSSCYCGCAGYKGUUCUGACGUGCAAAUCGAUCGUCAAAUCUGCGCAUGGGGGCGAAAGACUUAUCGAACCAUCUAGUAGCUGGUUACCGCCGAAGU